GACAGAGGGUGCAAACGUUGUUCGGAAUUACUGGGCGUAAAGGGCGCGUAGGUGGCCAACUAAGUCAGACGUGAAAUCCCUCGGCUUAACCGGGGAACUGCGUCUGAUACUGGAUGGCUUGAGUUUGGGAGAGGGACGCGGAAUUCUAGGUGUAGCGGUGAAAUGCGUAGAUAUCUGGAGGAACACCGGUGGCGAAGGCGGCGUCCUGGACCAAUACUGACACUGAAACGCGAAAGCCAGGGGAGCAAACGGG
rnacentral:rRNA from 1 species